AACGCACAUUGCGCCUCCUGGUAUUCCGGGAGGCAUGCCUGUUCGAGCGUCAUCAAAUACCACUCAAGCUCUUCUGCUUGGUCAUGGAAGAAGAGUAUGCUUGCAUCCUCUCUUCUGAAAUUGAAUGGCGGACCGCCUCAUGUGCCUCGCGUAGUAAGUUCAUCUUUUCGCUGGCAGCGUGAGACAGUCUCGCCAUCAACCCCCAUACUUCUAAGGUUGACCUCGGAUCAGGUAGGGAUACCCGCUGAACUUAA
rnacentral:misc_RNA from 1 species